AGGCUCAGAGGAUGUUUAAACGCUGACUGGAUCAUUGCUAAGUUAAUGACCCGGAGUGAUGUAAUUUCUAACCCUGUAAAAUUUGGAUGAGGUUCCAAGAAGAAAUGGUGAAACUAUACAGAUACGGUACUAGAAACUGGCAAGUGGAAACCAAGAGACUUCCAAUCCUGCCACUUCUGUACUCUGAUUAAGCCAUCCUCCAGAAGCUAGUGAUCAUUUCCUACUAUGGCCGCAAGAUUUAGAAGAAAAAUUACAGAAAACUCCACCAAGUUUAAAAACCAGAUUUUUUAAAGCAUGGAUGUUGGGGGCUGUGGACCACCAGACCCUGAAUUUCCCAUAAACAAUUUGUUUUCUAUGCUUGGUGCUGCUCUGAGCACAGACAGAGGAGUGGUUUCUGGUGGCUGCAGCAGAAGGAUCCGGGGGCUGGAGCGUGGCCAGAGCACUGUAUAAGCUGCCCCCGAACACAAUAAAGUGGGCAUUCUUGGCAUUCUUCUAUCAAGGAUGACCCGUGUC